CCAAAGAUUAAGCCAUGCAUGUGUAAGUAUAAGCGAUUGUACUGUGAGACUGCGAACGGCUCAUUAUAUCAGUAAUAAUUUUUUCGGUAGUUUUUUUUAUAUGGAUACCUGCAGUAAUUUUGGAAAUAAUCCAUGCUGUAAGAGCCCUGUAUGGGGCUGCCCUUAUUAGAUUGAAGCCGAUUUUAUUGGUGAAUCAUGAUAAUUGAGCAGAUUGACUUUUUUGGUCGAUGAAUCGUUUGAGUUUCUGCCCCAUCAGUUGUCCACGGGAGGGUAUUGGACUACGGGGACUAUAACGGGGGACGGAAAGUUAGGGCUCGACUCCGGAAAGGGAGCCUGAAAAACGGCUACCAUAUCCAAGGAUAGCAGCAGGGCCGUAAAUUACCCCCUGGGGACUCCCCGAGGUAGUGACAAAAAAUAUCGAUGCCAAACGGGUAUGCGUUUUGCUAUCGGAAUGAAAGCAAUGUAAAACCCUCAUCGAGGAUCAACUGGAGGGCAAGUCUGGGGCCAGCACCCCCGGUAAUUCCAGCUCCAAAAGCAUAUGCUAAAGUUGUUGCAGUUAAAAAGCUCGUAGUUGAAUUUCUGGCAUGGGCGACCGGGGCUUUCCCUGAAUGGGGAUUGAUUGUCUGGUUGCCUUGGCCAUCUUUUUCCUUGCUUUUUUGGGAAAAAAAUCUUUCACGGUAAUCAAAACAGAAGUGUUCCAAGCAGGUCGUAUGAACCGGUAUGUUUAUUAUGGGAUGAUAAGAUAGACUUGGGGUGCUAUUUUGUGGUUUGACGCCUGAUUAUGGUAAUAAGAACGUUGGGGGGUAUCGUUUAGGAGCUAGAGGUGAAUUCUUGGAUUCCGAAGACGAACUAGAGCGAAGGCAUUAAAAAGUUGGUACAGUAAAAGAUUUUGUAUGAGAAUUUGGGACGUGGGCGCCGGGUUUUCUCCCAAAAUGGGGAUUUAUUUUUUGUUUUCCUUUGCCCUUUUUUUUUUUUUUUUUUUGGGUGAGAUAUUUUUCAGUGUAAUAAAAGCAGAGUUUUCCACACAGGUUGUAUGCCCGGUAUUUUUUUUAUGGGAUGAUAAGAUAGGAUUGGGGUGAUAUUUUGUGGGUUCGCACCCGAGAGAAAGGUUAAAUGGGAACAGUGGGGGGUUUUUGUUUUUGGGAGAUAGGGGUGAAUUUUUGGGUUUUCAAAAAGACGAAAUAGAGAGAAGGCUUUUCCCAAGCAUUUUUUCUUAAAUCAAAAAAAAAAGUGGGGGGAUAAAAGAAGUUUAGACCCCAUUGUAGUAUACCCUGUAAAAGAUCCCCUCUUGAGUUUUUGGGGUUUUUUUUUAUGGGCCUCAGCAGCAGCACAUGAGAAACCAAAGUCUUUGGGUUCCGGGGGGGGAAAGGUUCCAAGGCUGAAACUUAAAGGAAAUUGGGGGAAGGGCCCCCCCGGGGGGGGCCCUCGGGGUUAAUUUUGUUUAACACGGGAAAAUUUCCCAGGUCCAGAAAAAGGUAGGGUUUGCCAGAUUGAGGGCUUUUUCAAGAUUUUAGGGGGGGGGGGGCAGGGCCGUUUUUAGUUGGGGGAGGGAUUUUUUUGGUUAAUUCCGUUAACGAACGGACCUUCGCCCUAAAAAAUAGUGGGGGGUAGGGCAACAAAAUCCUUUUUUACUUUUUAAAGGGACAUUUCCGGUUUACGGGCCGGAAAUUGGGGGCCAAACCAGGUUUGGGAUCCCCUUAAAUUUUUUGGGCCCCCC
rnacentral:rRNA from 1 species